UAAGGCUCUUGGUCGUAAUCAAUUCAUUUAUCUUAUGUCCAAGUUGGGUAUUCAGAAUCUUCACACUCCAACCUGAGGGGGAGUAUUGGGGAUAGAGUAGAAUCUCUUGUGAUAUAUUUUGUGACAGAGUUAUGUCCUAUAAUUUAGGGAUUCGAGUUUAUUUUAUACGAUGACUCUCUUGUAUAAAUAUCACACUUUGUGAAUCAAUAAACUCAAGUUAGUGCAAUACCUAAUUCUACACAAAUAAUUUUCUCUCUCUCUGAAAGUUUUAGAGAGAGAAAAAAAUCUUUUGUGUGAACUUUAAUUUAAGGUUAAUGAUUUUUGAGGCACAAAAAAACUCAUUUCU
rnacentral:sRNA from 1 species